GAGAGGGUGAUCGGCCACACUGGGACUGAGACACGGCCCAGACUCCUACGGGAGGCAGCAGUAGGGAAUCAUCCGCAAUGGACGAAAGUCUGACGGUGCAACGCCGCGUGAGUGACGAAGGUUUUCGGAUCGUAAAACUCUGUUGUUGGGGAAGAACAGGUAUCAUUCGAAUAGGGUGAUGCUUUGACGGUACCUAACCAGAAAGCCCCGGCUAACUACGUGCCAGCAGCCGCGGUAAUACGUAGGGGGCAAGCGUUGUCCGGAAUUAUUGGGCGUAAAGCGCGCGCAGGCGGUCCUUUAAGUCUGAUGUGAAAUCUCACGGCUUAACCGUGAGCGGUCAUUGGAAACUGGGGGACUUGAGUACAGAAGAGGAGAGUGGAAUUCCACGUGUAGCGGUGAAAUGCGUAGAGAUGUGGAGGAACACCAGUGGCGAAGGCGACUCUCUGGUCUGUAACUGACGCUGAGGUGCGAAAGCGUGGGUAGCAAACAGGAUUAGAUACCCUGGUAGUCCACGCCGUAAACGAUGAGUGCUAGGUGUUAGGGGGUUUCCGCCCCUUAGUGCUGGAGU
rnacentral:rRNA from 1 species